UACGAGGGGGGCAAGCGUUGUUCGGAUUCAUUGGGCGUAAAGGGCGCGUAGGCGGCGGGGUAAGUCGGGUGUGAAAUCUCAGAGCUCAACUCUGAAACUGCACUCGAUACUGCUCUGCUUGAGGACUGGAGAGGAGACUGGAAUUCACGGUGUAGCAGUGAAAUGCGUAGAUAUCGUGAGGAAGACCAGUGGCGAAGGCGGGUCUCUGGACAGUUCCUGACGCUGAGGCGCGAAGGCCAGGGGAGCAAACGGG
rnacentral:rRNA from 1 species